rnacentral:rRNA from 1 species
GACGAGCGCCGGCGGCGUGCUUAACACAUGCAAGUCGAACGGAAAGGCCCUGCUUUUGUGGGGUGCUCGAGUGGCGAACGGGUGAGUAACACGUGAGUAACCUGCCCUUGACUUUGGGAUAACUUCAGGAAACUGGGGCUAAUACCGGAUAGGAGCUCCUGCUGCAUGGUGGGGGUUGGAAAGUUUCGGCGGUUGGGGAUGGACUCGCGGCUUAUCAGCUUGUUGGUGGGGUAGUGGCUUACCAAGGCUUUGACGGGUAGCCGGCCUGAGAGGGUGACCGGCCACAUUGGGACUGAGAUACGGCCCAGACUCCUACGGGAGGCAGCAGUGGGGAAUAUUGCACAAUGGGCGGAAGCCUGAUGCAGCAACGCCGCGUGCGGGAUGACGGCCUUCGGGUUGUAAACCGCUUUCGCCUGUGACGAAGCGUGAGUGACGGUAAUGGGUAAAGAAGCACCGGCUAACUACGUG